rnacentral:rRNA from 1 species
GAUUGAACGCUGGCGGCAGGCCUAACACAUGCAAGUCGAACGGUAGCACAGARGAGCUUGCUCUUCGGGUGACGAGUGGCGGACGGGUGAGUAAUGUCUGGGGAUCUGCCCGAUGGAGGGGGAUAACCACUGGAAACGGUGGCUAAUACCGCAUAACGUCGCAAGACCAAAGUGGGGGACCUUCGGGCCUCACACCAUCGGAUGAACCCAGAUGGGAUUAGCUAGUAGGCGGGGUAACGGCCCACCUAGGCGACGAUCCCUAGCUGGUCUGAGAGGAUGACCAGCCACACUGGAACUGAGACACGGUCCAGACUCCUACGGGAGGCAGCAGUGGGGAAUAUUGCACAAUGGGCGCAAGCCUGAUGCAGCCAUGCCGCGUGUAUGAAGAAGGCCUUCGGGUUGUAAAGUACUUUCAGCGGGGAGGAAGGGRGUGRGGUUAAUARCCUCRYUCAUUGACGUUACCCGCAGAAGAAGCACCGGCUAACUCCGU